rnacentral:rRNA from 1 species
CCUACGAGUGGCAGCAGUGAGGAAUAUUGGUCAAUGGGCGCGAGCCUGAACCAGCCAAGUAGCGUGAAGGAUGACUGCCCUACGGGUUGUAAACUUCUUUUAUAAAGGAAUAAAGUGCGGCACGUGUGCCUUUUUGUAUGUACUUUAUGAAUAAGGAUCGGCUAACUCCGUGCCAGCAGCCGCGGUAAUACGGAGGAUCCGAGCGUUAUCCGGAUUUAUUGGGUUUAAAAGGAGCGUAGAUGGGUUGUUAAGUCAGUUGUGAAAGUUUGCGGCUCAACCGUAAAAUUGCAAUUGAUACUGGCAGUCUUGAGGACAGUUGAGGUAGGCGGAAUUCGUGGUGUAGCGGUGAAAUGCUUAGAUAUCACGAAGAACUCCGAGUGCGAAGGCAGCUUACUAAACUGCCACUGACAUUGAUGCUCGAAAGUGUGGGUAUCAAACAGGAUUAGAUACCCCAGUAGUC